rnacentral:sRNA from 1 species
AAAAAAAAAGGAAAAAAAAA